AAAUAGAUACCCGGGUAGUCCUGGCCCUAAACGAUGUCAACUAGAUUAUGGCGGCUCUGACGCCGUCAUGGUCGAAGCAAAAGUGGUAAGUUGACCGCCUGGGAAGUACGGUCGCAAGGCUAAAACUCAAAGGAAUUGACGGGGGCGUCACACAAGCGGUGGAGCAUGUGGCUUAAUUCGAAGCAACGCGCAGAACCUUACCUGGGUUUGACAUGCCUGGAUUAUCCCCGUGGAAGCGGGGUACGCCCUUCGGGGUGGAACUGGCACAGGUGCUGCAUGGCUGUCGUCAGCUCGUGUCGUGAGAUGUCGGGUUAAGUCCCUUAACGAGCGAAACCUUUAUCCUUAGUUGCCAGCGUAGUAAAGUCGGGGACUCUAAGGAGACUGCCGGUGUCAAACCGGAGGAAGGUGGAGAUGACGUCAAGUCCUCAUGGCCUUUAUGCCCAGGGCCACACACGUGCUACAAUGGCGUCGACAAAGCGAACCAAGAGCGCAAGCUGGAGGAAAUCGCAAAAAUGACGCCCCAGUUCAGAUCGGAGGCUGCAACCCCG
rnacentral:rRNA from 1 species